rnacentral:tRNA from 1 species
AAAAGUGAAAGAUAGUAUCUUUACAUGUUGUCCCCAUCGUCUAGAGGCCUAGGACAUCGCCCUUUCACGGCGGUAA